rnacentral:rRNA from 1 species
UACGUAGGUGGCAAGCGUUGUCCGGAUUUACUGGGCGUAAAGAGCGCGCAGGCGGUCGUUCAAGUCGCGUGUGAAAGCCCCGGGCUCAACCUGGGAAUUGCAUUCGAGACUGCAUUGCUGGAGUACGGAAGAGGAAGGCGGAAUUCCCGGUGUAGCGGUGAAAUGCGUAGAUAUCGGGAGGAACAUCAGUGGCGAAGGCGGCCUUCUGGUCCAGUACUGACACUCAAGUGCGAAAGCGUGGGGAGUAAGCAGG